UACGUAGGGUGCAAGCGUUGUCCGGAAUUAUUGGGCGUAAAGAGCUCGUAGGCGGUUUGUCGCGUCUGCUGUGAAAACUCAGGGCUUAACCCUGAGCUUGCAGUGGGUACGGGCAGACUAGAGUGCGGUAGGGGAGACUGGAAUUCCUGGUGUAGCGGUGAAAUGCGCAGAUAUCAGGAGGAACACCGGUGGCGAAGGCGGGGUCUCUGGGCCGUAACUGACGCUGGAGGAGCGGAAAAGCAUGGGGAGCGAACAGG
rnacentral:rRNA from 1 species